UAGGGAAUAUUGGACAAUGGAGGGAACUCUGAUCCAGCCAUGCCGCGUGAAUGAAGAAGGCGCUCUGCGUCGUAAAGUUCUUUUAAGUGGGACGAAAAAGGGGUGUUUACACUCAACUGACGGUACCACUGGAAUAAGCACCGGCUAACUCCGUGCCAGCAGCCGCGGUAAUACGGAGGGUGCAAGCGUUAUCCGGAAUCACUGGGUUUAAAGGGUGCGUAGGCGGAUAGAUAAGUCAGAGGUGAAAUGUGCUCGCUUAACGAGUAAAUUGCCUUUGAAACUGUUUAUCUUGAAUGAAGUUGAGGUAUGCGGAAUGUGACAUGUAGCGGUGAAAUGCAUAGAGAUGUCAUAGAACACCAAUUGCGAAGGCAGCAUACUGGACUUGAAUUGACGCUGAGGC
rnacentral:rRNA from 1 species